GGAGAAGUACCCAAGUGGCUAUAAGGGGCUCCCCUGCUAAGGGAGUAGACUGGGUGUACCGGUGCGUGGGUUCAAAUCCCACCUUCUCCG
rnacentral:tRNA from 1 species